GACAGAGGGUGCAAACGUUGUUCGGAUUUACUGGGCGUAAAGCGCGUGUAGGCGGCUUUACAAGUCGGAUGUGAAAGCCCACGGCUCAACCGUGGAAGUGCAUCCGAAACUGUAUCGCUGGAGUCCCGGAGAGGAAGGUGGAAUGCUUGGUGUAGAGGUGAAAUUCGUAGAUAUCAAGCAGAACACCUGCGGCGAAGGCGGCCUUCUGGACGGUGACUGACGCUGAGACGCGAAAGCGUGGGGAGCAAAC
rnacentral:rRNA from 1 species